rfam:Gossypium raimondii Chr05_contig_370, whole genome shotgun sequence.
AGUUAAAUUUUUCAUCUAUUUCUAUGAUUAAAAACUGGUGUGAUUGAUGGAAUAAUCAGAUAGUUAUACAUGACAUGUCACGUGUACCUCAUGUUAGUAUACAACAACCAGUUUUUAAUUGUAGAAAUGGAUGAUAUUUUUAACA